AGAGUUUGAUCCUGGCUCAGGACGAACGCUGGCGGCGUGCUUAACACAUGCAAGUCGAACGGAAAGGCUCUCUUCGGAGAGUACUCGAGUGGCGAACGGGUGAGUAACACGUGGGUAACCUACCUUUCACUGGGGGACAACCGAGGGAAACUUCGGCUAAUACCGCAUGAUGUGCAGCUUCACAAGAAGCAGUACCAAAGAUAGCUUCGGCUUUCGGUGAAAGAUGGGCCCGCGGCAGAUUAGCUUGUUGGUGGGGUAACGGCCUACCAAGGCUACGAUCUGUAGCUGGUCUGAGAGGACGAUCAGCCACACUGGAACUGAGACACGGUCCAGACUCCUACGGGAGGCAGCAGUGGGGAAUCUUGCGCAAUGGGCGAAAGCCUGACGCAGCAACGCCGCGUGAGGGAAGACGGCCUUAGGGUUGUAAACCUCUUUCAGCAGGGACGAAGCUUCCAGGGUGAAUAGCCCUGUGGAGUGACGGUACCUGCAGAAGAAGCCCCGGCUAACUACGUGCCAGCAGCCGCGGUAAUACGUAGGGGGCAAGCGUUGUCCGGAAUCAUUGGGCGUAAAGCGCGUGUAGGCGGCUCGGAAAGUCUGGUGUGAAAACUUGAGGCUCAACCUCAAGGGUGUCGCUGGAUACUAUCGAGCUCGAGUCCGGAAGAGGAGAGUGGAAUUCCUGGUGUAGCGGUGGAAUGCGCAGAUAUCAGGAGGAACACCAAUGGCGAAGGCAGCUCUCUGGUACGUGACUGACGCUGAGACGCGAAAGCGUGGGGAGCGAACAGGAUUAGAUACCCUGGUAGUCCACGCCGUAAACGAUGGAUGCUAGGUGUGGGCGGUGUCGAUUCCGUCCGUGCCGAAGCUAACGCAUUAAGCAUCCCGCCUGGGGAGUACGGCCGCAAGGCUAAAACUCAAAGGAAUUGACGG
rnacentral:rRNA from 1 species